rnacentral:sRNA from 1 species
ACUGGGUGUGGUGGUGCAUGCCUGUAAUCCCAGGAACUUUGCUCUGAAGGCUGAGGCAGGAGGCUCCCAAGUUUAAGGUCAGCAACUUAUCAAGGCCUUAAGCAAUUUAGUGAGAUUCUGUCUCAA